rnacentral:rRNA from 1 species
UCCGGAAGACCUAGUGGCGAACGGGUGAGUAACACGUGAGGAACUUGCCCCGGAGACUGGGAUAAGCCCCCGAAAGGGGGUCUAAUACCGGAUGUCCUCACCGAGUCGCAUGGCUUGGUGAGGAAAUGGAUUCCGCUCCGGGAGAGCCUCGCGGCCUAUCAGCUAGUUGGUGGGGUAACGGCCCACCAAGGCAUCGACGGGUAGCUGGUCUGAGAGGACGAUCAGCCACACUGGGACUGAGACACGGCCCAGACUCCUACGGGAGGCAGCAGUGGGGAAUCUUGCGCAAUGGGCGAAAGCCUGACGCAGCAACGCCGCGUGCGGGAUGACGGCCCUCGGGUUGUAAACCGCUUUCAGUGGGGACGAACCAAGGCGGUACCCACAGAAGAAGGUCCGGCCAACUACGUGCCAGCAGCCGCGGUAACACGUAGGGACCAAGCGUUGUCCGGAUUCAUUGGGCGUAAAGAGCUCGUAGGCGGUUCGAUAAGUCGGGUGUGAAACCUCCAGGCUCAACCUGGAGACGCCACCCGAUACUGUCGUGACUAGAGUCCAGUAGGGGAGCGUGGAAUUCCUGGUGUAGCGG